CCUACGGGUGGCAGCAGUGAGGAAUAUUGGUCAAUGGACGAGAGUCUGAACCAGCCAAGUAGCGUGAAGGAUGACUGCCCUAUGGGUUGUAAACUUCUUUUAUAAAGGAAUAAAACGAGGCACGUGUGCAUUUUUGCAUGUACUUUAUGAAUAAGGAUCGGCUAACCCCGUGCAAGCAGCCGCGGUAAUACGGAGGAUCCGAUCGUUAUCCGGAUUAAUUGGGUGUAAAGGGAGCGUAGAGGGGUUGUUAAGUCAGUUGUGAUAGUUGUCGGCUCAACCGUAAAAUUGCAAUUGAUACUGGCAUCCUUGAGUACAGUAGAGGUAGGCGGAAUUCGUGUUGUAGCGGUGCAAUGCUUAGAUAUCACGAAGAACUCCGAUUGCGACGGCCGCCUGCUGGACUGUAACUGCCGCUGAUGCUCGAAAGUGUGUGUAUCAAACAGGCUUAGCUACCCUUGUAGUC
rnacentral:rRNA from 1 species